rnacentral:misc_RNA from 1 species
UUGAUUUGUUUUUUUUCGUCACUCAGAAGCCCGCUGGAGGACAGAGCUGGAAGGGUCGCGCGCCGGCGGGCGCCCCCGAAGGAGCCGCGAUCCCGCCCUGGGAUCGCCCGCCGAGGCAGCAAAUGGAACGGUUCACAGUGGUUUUUCAGGUGCUAGACCUUCUAUAAUGAUCCCUCCGCUGGUUCACCAACGGAGA